CUGGGUUUGAACUUCAGGUGUAAGCCUCAGAGAUGAGGUCCUCCCUUCGGGGACACCUGGAGAGGUGCUGCAUGGCUGUCGUCAGCUCGUGUCGUGAGAUGUUGGGUUAAGUCCCGCAACGAGCGCAACCCUUGCUCAUAGUUGCUAACGCGUUAUGGCGAGCACUCUAUGGGGACUGCCGGUGAUAAACCGGAGGAAGGUGGGGAUGACGUCAAGUCCUCAUGGCCUUUAUGUCCAGGGCUACACACGUGCUACAAUGGACGGUACAAAGAGUCGCGAUCCCGCGAGGGGGAGCUAAUCUCAAAAAGCCGUUCUCAGUUCGGAUUGCACUCUGCAACUCGAGUGCAUGAAGCUGGAAUCGCUAGUAAUCGCGGAUCAGCACGCCGCGGUGAAUACGUUCCC
rnacentral:rRNA from 1 species